GACGUAGGGGGCAAGCGUUGUCCGGAAUCAUUGGGCGUAAAGCGCUCGUAGGCGGCGCGGUACGACCGGUGUGAAAGCCCCCGGCUCAACUGGGGAGGGACAUCGGUACGGCCGUGCUGUGAGUGCAGGAGAGGGAAGUGGAACUCCGGGAGUAGCGGUGAAAUGCGUAGAGACCCGGAGGAACACCAGUGGCGAAGGCGGCUUCCUGGCCUGCGACUGACGCUGUGGCGCGGAAAGCUAGGGGAGCAAACGGGG
rnacentral:rRNA from 1 species